rnacentral:rRNA from 1 species
AAACCGCGAAAGGCUCAUUAAAUCAGUUAUGGUUCCUUAGAUCGUACCCACAUUUACUUGGAUAACUGUGGUAAUUCUAGAGCUAAUACAUGCAAACAGAGCCCCGACCGGAGACGGAAGGGCGUGCUUUUAUUAGAUCAAAACCAAUCGGUGGCGGGCUCGCUCGUCAUCGUACAUUUUGGUGACUCUGAAUAACAUUUUGCUGAUCGCACGGUCUCGCACCGGCGACGCAUCUUUCAAAUGUCUGCCUUAUCAACUGUCGAUGGUAGGUUCUGCGCCUACCAUGGUUGUAACGGGUAACGGGGAAUCAGGGUUCGAUUCCGGAGAGGGAGCCUGAGAAACGGCUACCACAUCCAAGGAAGGCAGCAGGCGCGCAAAUUACCCACUCCCGGCACGGGGAGGUAGUGACGAAAAAUAACGAUACGGGACUCAUCCGAGGCCCCGUAAUCGGAAUGAGUACACUCUAAACCCUUUAACGAGGAUCAAUUGGAGGGCAAGUCUGGUGCCAGCAGCCGCGGUAAUUCCAGCUCCAAUAGCGUAUAUUAAAGUUGUUGCGGUUAAAAAGCUCGUAGUCGAAUCUGUGUCCCGCGCCGCCGGUUCAUCGCUCGCGGUGUUCAACUGGCGAGCCGCGGGACGUCCUGCCGGUGGGCUUAGCCCUCGCUCGCGUGGGCGGCCCAACUUUAAAUCCCUCCGCGGUGCUCUUGACUGAGUGUCGAGGUGGGCCGGCACGUUUACUUUGAACAAAUUAGAGUGCUUAAAGCAGGCUAAAAUUUCGCCUGAAUAUUGUGUGCAUGGAAUAAUGGAAUAGGACCUCGGUUCUAUUUUGUUGGUUUUCGGAACCCCGAGGUAAUGAUUAAUAGGAACGGAUGGGGGCAUUCGUAUUGCGACGUUAGAGGUGAAAUUCUUGGAUCGUCGCAAGACGGACAGAAGCGAAAGCAUUUGCCAAAAACGCUUUCAUUGAUCAAGAACGAAAGUUAGAGGUUCGAAGGCGAUCAGAUACCGCCCUAGUUCUAACCAUAAACGAUGCCAGCUAGCGAUCCGCCGACGUUCCUCCGAUGACUCGGC